rnacentral:tmRNA from 1 species
GGGGGUGUCAUGGUUUCGACGGGUAUGGUGAAGAUCUGAGUGCAUGCCGAGGUUUCAGACACCUCGUAAAACCUCUGAAAAACUUAGUAAAAGCGAACGAUAACUUCGCCUUGGCGGCCUAAGGAACCUGGUUCCUUGCAGGCCCCCACUUGUUGAUCAGACCUGCCUGAGCCGGGUCAACGAGUGUCGCAAAUCCAGGCUGGCUCAUUCCAGCGUCGUGGUAGAA